rnacentral:rRNA from 1 species
GACGAACGCUGGCGGCGUGCCUAAUACAUGCAAGUAGAACGCUGAAGGAGGAGCUUGCUUCUCCGGAUGAGUUGCGAACGGGUGAGUAACGCGUAGGUAACCUGCCUGGUAGCGGGGGAUAACUAUUGGAAACGAUAGCUAAUACCGCAUAACAGUAGAUGUUGCAUGACAUUUGCUUAAAAGGUGCAAUUGCAUCACUACCAGAUGGCCCUGCGUUGUAUUAGCUAGUUGGUGAGGUAACGGCUCACCAAGGCGACGAUACAUAGCCGACCUGAGAGGGUGGUCGGCCACACUGGGACUGAGACACGGCCCAGACUCCUACGGGAGGCAGCAGUAGGGAAUCUUCGGCAAUGGACGGAAGUCUGACCGAGCAACGCCGCGUGAGUGAAGAAGGUUUUCGGAUCGUAAAGCUCUGUUGUAAGAGAAGAACGAGUGUGAGAGUGGAAAGUUCACACUGUGACGGUAUCUUACCAGAAAGGGACGGCUAACUACGUG